AGAGUUUGAUCCUGGCUCAGAUUGAACGCUAGCGGGAUGCCUUACACAUGCAAGUCGGACGGCAGCGGCAUGGACAAUCCCUUCGGGGUGCGACCAUGGCCGGCGAGUGGCGAACGGGUGAGUAAUGCAUCGGAACGUGCCCAGUAGUGGGGGAUAACCACUCGAAAGAGUGGCUAAUACCGCAUAUUCUCUACGGAGGAAAGGGGGGGAUCUUCGGACCUCCCGCUACUGGAGCGGCCGAUGUCGGAUUAGCUAGUUGGUGGGGUAACGGCUCACCAAGGUAACGAUCCGUAGCUGGUCUGAGAGGACGACCAGCCACACUGGGACUGAGACACGGCCCAGACUCCUACGGGAGGCAGCAGUGGGGAAUCUUGGACAAUGGGGGCAACCCUGAUCCAGCAAUCCCGCGUGUGUGAAGAAGGCCUUCGGGUUGUAAAGCACUUUUUGCAGGGAAGAAAUAGCCUGGGUGAAUAAUCCGGGUGACUGACGGUACCUGCGGAAUAAGCACCGGCUAACUACGUGCCAGCAGCCGCGGUAAUACGUAGGGUGCAAGCGUUAAUCGGAAUUACUGGGCGUAAAGGGUACGCAGGCGGCUAGGCAAGAAGGAUGUGAAAUCCCUGGGCUUAACCUAGGAAUUGCAUUUUUAACUGCCUGGCUAGAGUAUGUCAGAGGGGGGUGGAAUUCCACGUGUAGCAGUGAAAUGCGUAGAUAUGUGGAGGAACACCGAUGGCGAAGGCAGCCCCCUGGGAUAAUACUGACGCUCAGGUACGAAAGCGUGGGGAGCAAACAGGAUUAGAUACCCUGGUAGUCCACGCCCUAAACGAUGUCAACUAGCUGUUGGGGCCAAUAGGCCUAAGUAGCGCAGCUAACGCGUGAAGUUGACCGCCUGGGGACUACGGCCGCAAGGCUAAAACUCAAAGGAAUUGACGGGGACCCGCACAAGCGGUGGAUGAUGUGGAUUAAUUCGAUGCAACGCGAAAAACCUUACCUACCCUUGACAUGUCUGGAAGCUCCAAGAGAUUGGAGUGUGCUCGCAAGAGAACCGGAACACAGGUGCUGCAUGGCUGUCAUCAGCUCGUGUCGUGAGAUGUUGGGUUAAGUCCCGCAACGAGCGCAACCCUUGUCAUUAGUUGCUACCAUUUAGUUGGGCACUCUAGUGAGACUGCCGGUGACAAACCGGAGGAAGGUGGGGAUGACGUCAAGUCCUCAUGGCCCUUAUGGGUAGGGCUUCACACGUCAUACAAUGGUUGGGACAGAGGGUUGCCAACCCGCAAGGGGGAGCUAAUCCCACAAACCUAAUCGUAGUCCGGAUUGCACUCUGCAACUCGAGUGCAUGAAGUCGGAAUCGCUAGUAAUCGCGGAUCAGAAUGCCGCGGUGAAUACGUUCCCGGGUCUUGUACACACCGCCCGUCACACCAUGGAAGUGGGUUUCACCAGAAGUGGGUUGCCUAACCGCAAGGAGGGCGCUUACCACGGUGGGAUUCAUGACUGGGGUGAAGUCGUAACAAGGUA
rnacentral:rRNA from 1 species